rnacentral:rRNA from 1 species
AAUAUAUGGUCUAGCCUGCCCACUGAUAUUUUAAAGGGCCGCGGUAAUUUGACCGUGCGAAGGUAGCAUGAUCACUAGUUUUUUAAUUGAAGGCUUGUAUGAAUGGUUGGACGAGGAAUUGACUGUCUUCUUAUUUCAUUGAAUUUAACUUUUAAGUGAAAAGGCUUAAAUCAGUUAGAGGGACGAUAAGACCCUAUAAAACUUUAUAUAAUAUAACUAUAUUAUUAGAAUUGAGUUUAAUUAUAGUUUAGUUAUUUUAUAUUUUGUUGGGGAGAUAUUUAUAUAAUUCGUAACUGUUUUAAAAAUGCAAUAAUUAUAAUUAGUUUUUGAUCCUGUAGUAUGGAUUAUAAGUUUAAGUUACUUUAGGGAUAACAGCGUAAUUUUCUCUGAGAGUUCUUAUCGACGAGAUAAGUUGCGACCUCGAUGUUGAAUUAAAAUAUCAGAUUGGUGCAGUCUCUAUUCUGGGGGUCUGUUCGACCUUUAAAAUUUUACG